rnacentral:tRNA from 1 species
UAGCUCAGUGGUAGAGUGUAUGCUUAGCAUGCAUGAGGUCCUGGGUUCAAUCCCCAG